GAGAGCAGGGUAAAAGAAACUCUCGUCUUCGAGUAAGGCUGCAGCUGGCUGUAUGCUCCAUCCAUAUGGUGGCAUACAGCACAUACCGGAGCAAUAUAAAAAGACUGCAGUAGACACAUGCAGAGCUUAAUGUUAAUAGGGCUUAGAAUUCUGUAUUUGUACUUACAUUCCAUUAAGGUCCUGCAUGGAGAGAUGAAGCAAGUGUUUAAACCCUCAUAGCAGCAGGGAGCAGAACAUAAGCGGCCUUAAAAAAUUCUUGAUUGAAAAUGGUAAACCAAGCACAAGGGAAGUAGUAGCUUUCUUUGUAAGGCUGCAACACCCMAGUUUCAUGUGUGGGGGCCUUGCUGCAUAAUUUCACAGCCAGCCUUUGUAAUACCUUUGGCCACAACAUUACAAGCAGCACUGACAACUGUUUUUAUAGCUUAACAGCUAAAAGACAAACAGCUUUUUUUGUUGUUUAAAAUUUUGAAAAGGAAAAACAAGCAGGAGUUUCUUGCACAUUUUACAGCCUCAAGCAUGAGCCUAACUGAGCUCUCAGCCUGUUCCCACCAUCAGCCUUCCCAUGACUCUAAUGCAAAACACCAAAGCGACUGGAGGUGAGAUCCCAGCUCUUAACAGAGAUGGGCUGCAGGCUGUAUACUAGAGUACUAUUACCAAGUGCAGAUGCAGGCAGCACAUGGAAAGAAGAUGAAAGGAAGGUGAUGUCCUGUGACCAAGUUCUGUUAAGCAAGUUUUCUAAACUUGUCCCAGUAGUGAAACAGUGCUACGGAAAAAUACUGUACCUCACGGCGGCUGGAGCAAGGACUGCUGCAAGAAGGCUGCACGAGGUUAGGUGUGCUGCGGAGAAACACUCUCCCCUUACUAUAAAAUACUGGACUGCAUUUCCAUUUCCUGGCUACACCUUCAAGACAACAGCUAAGGCAUCCAGCUGGCUGGUUUACUUUGUUCCAGCUCUAAAUUGCAGAAACAUCUCACACUGCCCCAGGGAUCAGCCAGGGCAGAAAGCCCUGACCUUAAACCAAAGCUGUGCAAGAGCUGGUUGGAUCAGACUUCCUAAUGAAUGGAUAAAGCUAGUCACCAAAUGUUGGCAUACUUACGAGACUCUUAGAAGGCACUGUACAGAAAUUUGAACAAGACUUUGUGUCUUUAACAUAUUAAAGCAAACUGUUAUGAGUCUCAAAAAGUCUUCAAAAAGAGCUGCAUCACUGCUUUGACUUGACUCCUCUUUCCUUCUGUUUCUCUAUACCCACAUGACAACCAGAAACACUACUUUGGAGAAGCAGAUAUAUCAACUAUUGAAAUACAGUGGACUAUUUCUAUCUUAUUGCUUGAGGACAUCUAUAUGAAACAUGCCCUGGCACUACUGAGAGCUGAGUAACACAUUUUAAGCUAGAUUCAAGACUUCCAGAACUCCUGCUUUCAAACUUAUGAUUCUUACCUAUCCCUA
rnacentral:lncRNA from 1 species